rnacentral:rRNA from 1 species
CCCUUAGAUGUUCUGGGCCGCACGCGCGCUACACUGAUGCAUUCAACGAGCCUAUCCUUGACCGACAGGUCCGGGUAAUCUUUGAAUCUGCAUCGUGACGGGGAUAGAUUAUUGCAAUUAUUAAUCUUCAACGAGGAAUGCCUAGUAGGCGCAAGUCAUCAGCUUGCGUCGAUUACGUCCCUGCCCUUUGUACACACCGCCCGUCGCUCCUACCGAUUGGGUGUGCUGGUGAAAUGUUCGGAUCGGCCGUUUGUCGCGGUUUCCGCGUCAUGUGGCUGAGAAGUUCAUUAAACCCUCCCACCUAGAGGAAGGAGAAGACGUAACA